CUGAUUUGCUUAAUUGCACCACAUGUGUUUUUCUUUGAAACAAACUUGCUUUGGCGGUGGGCCCAGCCUGCCGCCAGAGGUCUAAACUUACAACCAAUUUUUUAUUAACUUGUCACACCAGAUUAUUACUAAAUAGUCAAAACUUUCAACAACGGAUCUCUUGGUUCUCGCAUCGAUGAAGAACGCAGCGAAAUGCGAUACGUAAUAUGAAUUGCAGAUAUUCGUGAAUCAUCGAAUCUUUGAACGCACAUUGCGCCCUCUGGUAUUCCGGAGGGCAUGCCUGUUUGAGCGUCGUUUCUCCCUCAAACCGCUGGGUUUGGUGUUGAGCAAUACGACUUGGGUUUGCUUGAAAGACGGUAGUGGUAAGGCGGGAUCGCUUUGACAAUGGCUUAGGUCUAACCAAAAACAUUGCUUGCGGCGGUAACGUCUACCACGUAUAUCUUCAAACUUGACCUCAAAUCAGGUAGUACUCUAGCCGCAGAUAA
rnacentral:misc_RNA from 1 species